rnacentral:misc_RNA from 1 species
ACGAAUUCGAACAAAAGCGCCCUCGGCUGAUGCUGGCUCCUCGGAGCACGUGCACGCCUGGGGGCGCCCUCGAUUCGCUCUACCCCCCACUUGUGCACUCCAUGUAGGUCGUCGGACGGCGUCGGGCUUAGCCUCCCCUCGCCUUCCCCUCCGGCGCCUACGAUUCCGUCUCCGUACGCACCCCGAUCGCAUGUACACGUGUGUAGCCUUUUGUGUAAACGUGAUAACACGAAUA